UGAGGUAGUAGGUUGUAUAGUUUUAGGGGUCCCCCUGGCUGUCAGAUAACUAUACAAUCUACUGUCUUUC
rnacentral:pre_miRNA from 1 species